rnacentral:rRNA from 1 species
CGGAACACGUACGCAACAUACCUUUAUCUGGGGCAUAGCCCGAAGAAAUUCGGAUUAACACCCCAUAAGAUUAUAGCCUGGCAUCAGGUAGUAAUUAAAAAUUUAUUGGAUAGAGAUUGGCGUGCGUCCUAUUAGCUAGUUGGCGGGGUAAAGGCCCACCAAGGCGACGAUAGGUAGCUGAUGUGAGAGCAUGAUCAGCCACACGGGCACUGAGACACGGGCCCG